GGGGAAUUAUUGGAAGAAAACCUGUAUCAAGACGUCAACUUACAUGCCUCUCUAAUUGUAUCAGAAAACAAUGGCCUGACAGUGGAAGGUAUCAUAGGUCAGAAAUAUGGCAUAAAACCUCUAGCUUCUCAAGAUAGAACGACGCACGGCAACAUUCCUCAUAAGCUGUAUGAACUUGCCAGAGAUGAAUACCGAAUGGAUGCAGUACAUAGGCCAGCAAGUUCCUUCGUUUCACCAAGGCAGAACUCAAAUCAAUGGCCACCGAGAAAGAUAGACGUAGAGCUCUUGAUUGUUACAGACAGUGCUUUUCGAAAGCAAUUUCCAACAAAAGAGAAGAUGCUGCAUUAUCUAUUUGUUACUGUU